rnacentral:rRNA from 1 species
CAGUCGUACCGACGAGAAAUCAACUUAUCGUGUGCGAACUUGUGGGCGUGCGUGAGUUUCGGCCUCGCUGUUUGCAUGUUUGUGCGUUUUGGGUGUACUUUUUCGUAUGGUAGGCCAACGUCAGUUUCGAUUAUCAUAAAAUGACCGGCGGAAUGUAGCUUCGAUUUCGGUUGAAGUGUUAUAGCCUCUGGUAGAUGUGGUGAUUGAGACUGAGGAUUGCAACGAAUACCCUUUGGGCUAUCCGUCUGGCCUCUGAAAGUUGCUCAGGUGCCGAAAGCGUGCUUACGGUUAUCUAAGAUAACGUUCAACAGGUUAGAACGUGAUUACA